rnacentral:lncRNA from 1 species
UUAAUAACCACCAUAGCACUUGGCUUAAACCUAGGGGACCGACUCCAAACUUUAGAAUCUUUACCUCCCCUAUUUAUGGAUAUAGGCUACUGUCGGUCCAGCCGCCUAAUAAAGAACCGAGUAGGCGGAAAAUAUUACCUUAUGGUGAAUAACCAGGCCGUCCCAAGCGUUGUUCUCCCCAACAUUUCCCUAACAGAUGUCAC